GAUGAAGAACGUAGUGAAACGCGAUAUGUAAUGUGAAUUGCAGAAUUCAGUGAAUCAUCGAAUCUUUGAACGCACAUGGCGCCUUCCAGUAUCCUGGGAGGCAUGCCUGUCCGAGCGUCGUUUCAACCCUCGAGCCCCCGUGGCCCGGCGUUGGGGAUCUGCCACGGCAGGCCCCUAAAACCAGUGGCGGACCCGAAGGCCCUCUCCUUUGCGCAGUAGCAUCAGCCUCGCAUUGGGAUCCCUCGGCGUCCUGCCUCUAGACCCCCCACAAGUCCGCUCCGGCGGCACCAAGGUUGACCUCGGAUCAGGUAGGAAUACCCGCUGAACUUAAGCAUAUCAAUAAGCGGAGGA
rnacentral:misc_RNA from 1 species